GCCUAAGUGGUGCAAUUGGUGAAGCACUCGGCUGCUAGCCAAAAGGUUGGUGGUUUGAAUCCACCCAGAGGUA
rnacentral:tRNA from 1 species